UACGUAGGGACCAAGCGUUGUUCGGAUUUACUGGGCGUAAAGGGCGCGUAGGCGGCUUAACAAGUCAGUUGUGAAAUCUCCGGGCUUAACUCGGAACGGCCAAGUGAAACUGUCAAGCUAGAGUGCAGAAGGGGCAAUCGGAAUUCUUGGUGUAGCGGUGAAAUGCGUAGAUAUCAAGAGGAACACCUGAGGUGAAGGCGGCAACCUGGACCGGUAUUGACGCUGAGGCGCGAAAGCCAGGGGAGCAAACGGG
rnacentral:rRNA from 1 species